rnacentral:lncRNA from 1 species
CUGGUUGACAAAACAAUUGUUAAGGUUGCAUUGCUAAUGAGAUUGAAUCAUUUAUUAACGGAGCUGUUCACAAAUUUUGGCUAUAGUAUAUGCUGGAGAUGCUCUUGUUCGAAGAGGCUAAGAUGUUCCUCCAUUCUCUUGGCAAUGCUAAAUUCCUGAGGUGGGGUUUCAAGCCUGAGGAAUAUAAUUAUAUUCAACACAUGACAUGACGAGAGAGACAGAGACAAUAAUGCUAAAUACAACACGUCGCAAAAGAGUUUCUGUCCCCUCCUCCAUACAUAGUUAUAACUUAUAAGGACAAGAAUGAGCUUCAUUUUUGUCACAUAUACCUGGGACACUAUAGCUAGCUGGUCACCUUGCAUGUAAUAUGCAUAGCGAAAUGUAAAUGUGCAUAAGUACACUGUGUCACAUUUUCAAUAGUUAGUAACUAAGCAAAGCAAGCAUGGUGGUGGUGAUCAGGAUAUGAGAGCCAAGCUUUCUUUGCUGAUCUUGUUCCUAAUUUCCACUCUUCUUGCUUCCUCUGUGUGCUGCCAUAGAAGUCUUGCCGGCGUCGG